UGCAUUUAGCAUUGGUGCACAUGUCCUUAACAAAUAUAGGAGUCGUCUUUUGCCAAAAAAUGUACAAGCUUUGAUUUGUACUCACAAUUGGUUGCAUGGUUUGAUGCAACCUAACCUAAAUUUUGAUUAUUUCUUCUUAUAAUUGUUCAAUGUGAGUUUAACUAUUUCAUUCUUCUAAUUUUGUUACUAUAUGUAGAUGAAGAUGAUGAUGAAUCUAAUGAUAUUGGGAAUGGAACAACUUCAAGGAUGGUUGAUUGAAGAUGAUCAAAUGAUGAUUGAAGAUUUUAAUAUUAGCUAAUCCAAGACUUUAUUACUGCUUGGUUAUUUUAUAAUUAUUAUUGCAUACUUGUUAGAGAGAAUUAUUAUCUAAUAUGGUUAGAGAUACAUGUUUUGAAUUAUUAUUAUAGAGACUUUUAAUUGUUAUGUAAUGUGGUUAUGUAAAAUCUAUUGAUUUCCUGCCUAAUGUACUGCAUAGGAAAUUUGAAUUGACAUUUGAUAACUUAACAUUCACCAUUGUUGUUGUUUCUAAUGUAAACAUGAAAAUGUCUGCGGGCCGCCCGUUAGCCCGUUUUAAAAUGGGCAGGGCAUGACUUUUUGUCUGUUAACCAAUUGCGGGCAUGCCCGACCCGCUUAAAUUAUUGCGGGCAUUUGUGGGCGCAGGCUAAACGGGCCGGGUGGCCCGUUUUACCAUGCCUAUUCUCCACCCAGUUUGAAAGACCAUUUGCCACAGCCCACUUCUUCAAAUGGGGUCGCAACUCUUCUGCAAAACAGGGGAACACUAUUAGCUACGUUAAAACAGAAUCUUCGUAAGUCCCAACAACAAAUGAAAGCUCAAGCAGACUCAAAACGACAAGAUCAUACCUUUGAAGUAGACGAGUGGGUCUUAUUGCGCCUCCAAUCGUACCGCCAGACGAUGGUGCUCCGUCGACCAUCACAUAAGUUGAGUCGCCGAUUUUAUGGACCUUACUAAGUGAUUCGUCGCAUCAGCCAUGUUGCAUAUGAACUUGCUCUACCGGUCACGGCGAAGAUCCACCCCAUCUUCCAUGUCUCGUUACUAAAAAAUAAUUUGGUAUCCCUCAUGGUCAACAUGCAGAUCUUCCCUUGGACUUGGCUGAUUCGGACCUCCCUACUGUCGGUACUGAGGCCACUGUUGACGGAGGAUUGAGGAAAGGUGUCAAGGAAAACCCCACUUGUGUUGGGAAGACAAUAAAUCUAAACCCACAUGAGACUUUGUUUCCAAAUGAAGAGGCUAAGAACAAAAUGUUGAAAGAAGUGAAUGAGAGAGGAAACAACAGAGGCAUUUUUACAACUCUGAGUGCAAAUGGGCU
rnacentral:lncRNA from 1 species